rnacentral:rRNA from 1 species
UACGAAGGGGGCUAGCGUUGCUCGGAAUCACUGGGCGUAAAGCGCACGUAGGCGGCUUUUUAAGUCAGGGGUGAAAUCCUGGAGCUCAACUCCAGAACUGCCUUUGAUACUGAGAAGCUUGAGUCCGGGAGAGGUGAGUGGAACUGCGAGUGUAGAGGUGAAAUUCGUAGAUAUUCGCAAGAACACCAGUGGCGAAGGCGGCAUCCUGGACCGGUAUUGACGCUGAGGCGCGAAAGCUAGGGUAGCAAACGGG